UUUGAUAUUCAGGAGCCAUGUAACUGCAGUUGGAGUUGGAAAGUGCAUGAGAUAUGAGAAAAACUGUUAAAGAAAUAGGAUUUUUCUUACUUAAACUUGGUUCAUUUUGAACUCAAGAUAUAAAAUAUAUAGUGUGACUCAGUUAUUAAAUACAUAGAUUUCAUAUGUUUGUAUUUUAAAUCCAUAAUGAACCAGGUCCAGGCAACAAUUUGCUCAAGAAAUAUAUUUCCAAAACUCCAUAACAUAGCUGCAAUAUAAUUUUUCUAUUCCUAGUGGAAAUAUAUAUAUGCUAAGAUUCUUGUCUUUCUUUUUCUAUUCCUAAUAAGAUGCCAAAAGUCCAUCUCAUAGCUGCAAUAUAAUUUUUCUCAUGCAAAAAAAUAAAAAUAAAAAUAAAA
rnacentral:misc_RNA from 1 species